AGUGAGGGGCGAGCCCUGCGCGCCAGCCCCGCGCCUCCGGCAGGGAGCGCACACGCCGGGCGCCCUGCGCUCCGAGCGCUGAGAAAGAAAUCCGCCCCGAGAUGCACCUGCAGCCCCGCGCCCAUCCGUGCGUGGCUGCGGCUGUGCGUGCCCGCGAACGGGGACCAGCGGCCGCCGAGUCCGUCCACAUCGCCAGGCCAGACAGAGGCCUUCCCUGUGCCCACCACAUGGCGAUGCACAUAGUAGGGGCAUACUCAAUGCCUGAAGAUGGAAUGGGUGGUGCAUACAGGAACUUGCUGGGCUUGGUGCUGCUGCCUGGGAUUCUUGAACAGAGACGUUUUGCAGAAUGGAUGUGAGCUGAGGAGUAAAGGAUGCUUCGGAAUCUUCUAGAGUCAGAACAAGGACGGGCCUGUGAUGUGUCUGUCUAUGACGAGGAGGACAAUGUCCUAAGGAAUGGAGAGGAAGAAAGUGAAGGGAACCAGGUCCCUGGAUUCCAUGUGGAACAGUAGCCCAGGAUGUGCACUAUGGACUGUUACAAGAGAGAGACAUGAUCUUCCUUAAGGCAUUGAUUUGUCAUGAGUCUCUUUGUUAUAGCCACUUAACGUUACCUUAAUACACCCACUUCAUGGAUAAGUAAAACUGAGGCUUGGAGAAGCCCACAUUGACACAGCAAAGAAGGCUGGGGCUCUUGUGCUGGUUAAAUGGACCUUGAUGUCUUCCAAAUGUUUUCAUGCUGGAUUCUGAGCCACUCUCCUGGCUGCAACUCUGAGGCCGGGCAGACUUUCCGCUGGAAAGAGAACUCAAAUACUGGUGAGAGGUGGAUUUGAAGCCAGGAGCCCCAGGUUUUGGCUCUGCAGGUUUGCACCCAGCUCUGUGGUGUAUGCCCUCACAGGUCACCCAGGACCUCCUGUCCAGGCUUCUUCAGGCCACCCAUGAUGGAGUAGAUUUGAGGAAUGAGGUUUUCAAAGCAGUUAGUGUGCGGGAGAGUAACCCUGGGGCCUCCGGAACCAGAAGGGAGGGAUUUGGGGGCUGGAGCUUGGCAGUCCAGGUUCCAUUGUCCUCAUGUUCUCCCCACUGGCCUGGCCUGUCACUCCAGUCUCUGCAUAGGUUGUCACAUGGCAUUCUCCCUGUGUGUCUCUGUGUCUCUUCUCUUCUUUAUAAAGACAUAGUUAUAAUGGAUUAGGGCCCACCCUAAUGACACCAUCUUAACUUGAUUAUGUCUGCAAACACCCUACUUCCAAAUAAGGUCGCAUUAACAGGUACUGGGGUUUAGGACUUCAACAUGCCUAUUUGGGGGCACAAUUGUGGGCAGCCCCACAACACACAUGUAAUUUUAACCUCUAAGGAGUAAGCAUGCUGAUUUUUUUUUUUUUUUUUUUUUGAGACAGGGUCUUGCUCUGUUGCUCGGCUGGAGUGCAGUGGCACGAUCUCAGCUCACUGCAAACUCCACCUCCUGGUUUCAAGCAAUUCUCCCCCGACCCAGCCUCCCGAGUAGCUGGGAUUACAGGUGUGUGCCACCAUGCCCAGCUAAUUUUUGUGAUUUUAGUACAGAUGGUGUCUCACCAUUUUGCCCAGGCUGGUCUCGAACUCCUGGCCUUAAGUGAAUCGCCCACCUCAGCCUCCCGAGGUGCUGAGAUUACAGGCACAAGCCACUGUGCCUGGCCAAUCACUGAUCUUUCUCAAGGACUCUCCUUCUUUUCUCUUUGAGAUGGAGUCUCACUCUGUCCCCUAGGCAGGCUGGAGUGCAGUGGCACAAUCUUGGCUCACUGCAACCUCCACCUCCCAAGUUCAAGCGAUUCUCCUGCCUCAGCCUCCCAAGUAGCUGAGAUUAUAGGCGCCCACCACCAUACCUGGCUAAUUUUUGUAUUUUUAGUAGACAUGGGGUUUCACCAUGUUAGCCAGGCUGGUCUCAAACUCCUGGCCUCAGGUGAUCCAGCCACCUUGGUCCCCCAAAGUGCUGGGAUUACAGGCGUGAGCCACCGUGCCUGUCAAGGCCUCUCCUUCUAUUACGGGUCCAUCUCUUGCAGUCCCAAACUGCUUUCCUUGGGAAAUCCACAGGGAUGAAACAUCAUCUCCAACAUCAGCUGUGGAUUCUUUGAAGUGGAGGGUGAGUUUAAAGGGCCAUGUGAAGUGGUCAGCAAGUGGAACCCAUCUGAGAUUCUGACAAUUCUCUCUCACCCAGUUAUUUACACUCAUCUCACCCACACCUAAUUUGCCAAUAUUUUUGGUGACUCAUUUGUAAAGUAUCCUUCAAAGCAUUAGACUGAAUUUUCAUAAGAAACAUCUCUCCUUGUUAGUGCACUUCUGAUUCAUCAGUAAUAUAACAUUUAGUUAGAUUACGACAGUAAUUACAAUGACAAGUGAACUGUCAGAAACAUGUUCAGGAACAAAUACAAGUGACUGGCAAACAAACCACCAGCCGGUGUGAGGAGAAGCAGGCAGAGCCCAGGGGAGGAGGCUGCCAGCUGUCCCUUCCGAGUGCUCCCAUUUCAAAGGGGAGGUUGGCAGGAGGGUGGUUAGGAGAGGGAGGCUCGCCUGUAGGCCACAGGAGGGCUGUGACAGUAAAACCCUUUCUGGCCCCCCAGCAACGAAUGGGCAACCUAGACCCUCACUCCAGGCCCUGUUCUCCACGCAGGGAGUCGUGGAUCUUUUAAAAAACAAGAACCAGCACACCCACUUUGUCACAAAACCCAGACAAUCACAAGCUUUGUCGAGGAUAUAGGGAAGUUGGGACCCUCAUACACUGCUGGUGGGAAUGGAAAAUUGUGCAGCCGCUGCAGGAAACAGCUUGGUGGUUCCUAGAUAAGUUAAGCAGAGUUAUCAUAUGACCCAGCACUUAUACUCCCAGCUAUAUAUCCCAAAGAAUUGAAAUCAGGCCUUCAAACAAAAGCGUGUACAUGCAUGCUCAUAGCAGGACUAUUCAUGAUAACUUGGAAUAGGUGGAGAGAACCCAUAUGUCCAUCCACUGAUGAAUGGAGAAACUGCGGUCUCUCCACACAAGGGAAUAGCAUUCAGCCAUAAGAAGGAAUGACGUUUUGAUACCUGCUACCAUGUGGAUGGACCUUGAAAACAUUAUGCUAAGCCGAAACACAUUAUGCUAAGUGGAAACACAUUAUGCUAAAUGAAGACGCCA
ensembl:lncRNA MAPT-AS1 MAPT antisense RNA 1